ensembl:lncRNA
GGGGGCAGGGAUCAAUGAGCACCAAUAGGUCCUCUAACCUUGUCUCAUUCCCCAAAUCUUACUUCUUUCCUUCAAACUUACAUUUUUCUAGGCUUUGAAUAAUUUGUGCUUCUUGAAUGACACUAUGUUAUGAGAUGUUCUUGAUAAAACCUCCCCAGGGAGACAUCUUUAUUUUGUAAUCUAGGACUGGAUGGACCUCCAGAUAAUCUCAAUUUUGAUUUGACGGAAAUUCUUCUGCACACUAGAUUUGAAAUAGUCUGUUGAAAUAGCCUGUCUGUAAACAGGUAGAUUUUUACCACGGAGUCACCCAGGAAGCCCUGCUAUGGUGCUCAAUGAUUGCCAAGUCAGCACAUCGUAGGGGUCCUUCCUGACCCAGGAAUCUAGCUCAUGUCUCUGCAUCUCCUGCAUUGCAGGAGGAUUCUUUAUUGCUGACCCACUGGGGGAGCCCACAAUAACAACAACAACCAGUGCUAUAAUUGAAGUCCUGUGUGUUUAUUACGGAAGCCAAUAGAGUGUGCUGGCUAAUUCAAAUGACAUGGGUUCAUGUUGGCUCUACCACCUCUCACCUGUCUGUCUUUAGACAAGUUAUUUAACUUCAGAUUAAUAUUGUUUGAAAAA